GGCCUCUUGAUCAAAGCUACCGGGUGGAGAUGAGUCCGCGUCCCAUUAGCUAGUUGGUAGGGUAAUGGCCUACCAAGGCGACGAUGGGUAGCUGGUCUGAGAGGACGAUCAGCCACACUGGAACUGGAACACGGUCCAGACUCCUACGGGAGGCAGCAGUGAGGAAUAUUGCGCAAUGGGGGAAACCCUGACGCAGCGAUGCCGCGUGGGUGAAGAAGGCCUUCGGGUCGUAAAGCCCUGUCAAGUGGGAAGAACAGCUUCGGGACGAAUAAUUCCGAGGUGUGACGGUACCACUGAAGGAAGCACCGGCUAACUCCGUGCCAGCAGCCGCGGUAAGACGGAGGGUGCAAGCGUUAUUCGGAUUUAUUGGGCGUAAAGAGCGUGUAAGGCGGCCCGGUCAAGCCAGAUGUGAAAGCCCCAGGGCUUAACCCUUGGAAGUGCAUUUGGAACUGGGUUGGCUUGAGUUUCGGGAAAAGGGAAAUUGGGAAUUCCCGGGUGGU
rnacentral:rRNA from 1 species